ACCAACUUAAUGCCCAAUCAGAAAAAUUCUGACGCCUGUCUUUCCAUCAUUUUGUCAUUUCAAUUUUAAUGGCCACGGUUUCCAAAGGAAGCUUUAAUCCUCAUGACUUUUGAACUGUUCAUCUUUAAACUUCCUUACUUUCUCUCUAUCUCCUUUCUUAUUCAAUCCGGUUCUCUCAUGCUGUCAUUUUCCAUGUGGUUUUUGGCAUAUCCAGGGACAUUCUCAACCAGGUACGUAUCCUCCUUCCUCUUCAAAGUUUCUGUUGCUAAAAUAUGGGCUAAAAAAUUUGCUAUUCUUGGGGUAUAUUCGAACCUUAAAUUCUUGGAUCUAGUCUUUAACUGAUGAAUGUCAUGGAUAUAAGCCCCUAUCUGCGAUUUAUCAUACCCUUUAGCCUUGCAUUUCUUUAUUAUUGAUAAAGAAUCACCCUCAAUGAUUAUUUCUGGCCAUUGCAUGUCGAUUCCUAACUGGGUUGCUUUAAGGCAAGCAAGGGCUUCAGCAGCGAAGGCUGAGGGCACUCUUUAAUGAAUCUCUGAGCAUGAUAGGAGGACGAGCCUUGCACUGUCUCUGACAACAACUCUAGAUGCCGACUGUUGAUUCCUCUCGUCGUAGGCUCCAUCGAAAUUAACUUUUACUGUUUGACAUUGUGGGCAUUUUCAUUUUAUUUCCUCCUUUAAACCUUUGGGUGUUCUUUGUCCAACGCCAUUUAACUCUGAUAUAUAGUUGUGGACAAAUUUUGCUAUCUCCUGACCAGAUUUGUUUGUUUUUUUUAUGAAUACGAGCAUUCCAGUCUCCCCAGAUGGCCAAUAGUGCGCAGCAAAAUAUUCUGCAGAGACUGGAAGGAUGUUGAGCGAAAACCCUGGUAAACCGCUGUUCGAAUGCUAUAUUAGAUUACUGUAUAAAAUUCGAGGUUGAUAACGCUCUCCAAACUAAUGCUGAUACAGGACAUUCGCGGAAGAGGUGGUCCAUUGUUUCUGCUCCUUCACCACAACGGGGGCAUGCGAAACUGUUUAUUAGUCUUCUGUAUACCAUGUUAGCCCGUGUGGGCAAAUAGUUCCAUGAGAUUUUCCAAAUUGUAACUUUAAUUUUGGUAGGUAGAUCUAGGAGCCAAAAUUUUUUGUAAAAUACUUAUAGUCGGUUUGUAAAGCGUAAGCUCUAGGAUUAGAAUUUUGUAGUAGUUUGUAGGCACUUCGAACUGAAUAUUCUCUCGAAAGUUCCCCGCUCCACGUCAGGAUAUCAGCAUGAGGUUCUUGCGCCAACGGGAUGCUAAGGAUUUUUCCAGCUUCUACUUCUGGAAAGGUAUUGACAACUAGCUCUCUCUUCCACUUCCUUUCGUUGGAAUCAAUUAACUCAGCAACUUUAAAAUCUGGGAAAUUAAAAUUACUUGACGAUAGUCUAAAAUUUCUUGAAUCUGGAAUCCAAUUGUCAUGAACUGAAAUGCUCGUGCCUUAACCUACCUGCCAGCAAUAUCCUUCUUCCAAAAUACCCAAUAUACUCCAUACAAAAGAGCUGUUAUUUCCAAAUCGCGAGUUUAAAAAACCAUCUUAUGGAAAAUAUUUCGCUUUAAGUACUUGUGCAACUAACGAAUUUGGGUAAUUUAUGAAUCUCCAUCCUUGUUUUGCUAGUAAUGCAAUAUUAAAUUGGCCCAUACUUCUAAACUCCAUUCUGCCUUCCUCUUUAGGGUGACACAAAUGUUUCCACUGGCACUAAUGUAUUCCCCUUUUUCCAUGGCCUUUCUGCCACCAAAAUCUAGCACAAAUAUUUUCAAUCUCUCCACAUAAUGAAUUUGGUAAAAGAAAGCAAGACCGAUAAGUAGGAAUUGCCUGUAGUAUUGAUUUAAUGAAGACCUUUCCCCCUUGCGAUAGAAACCUAGUGCUCCAGUUUUCAAUUUGAAUAGAGACCCUUUUUUUUUUAAAUUCUGAAAAGUUUUUUUUUCGUCUGCCUACAACAUUAUGGAGACCUAAAUAUUUUUCAAGAUUUGUUGAGCUUCUUCUUCCUAGCAGUGUCGAGACUUCUUUUUUUUUUUUAUCUUCUGUUGUAUUCGAGCUAUAGAAGAUAGUUGAUUUAUUAAAGUCACACAUUGCCCUGAACAACUUUCAUAAUCCUUGAGAAUCCCUUUCAAAAUUAUCGCACCCCUGAUUGUUGCUUCACUAAACAAAAUGCAAUCAUUCGCAAAAAGUAGGUGAGAUAUCUUUGGCCCGCUUUUGCUUGCCUUUGCACCUUUUAUCAAACCCUCUCCCAUUGCUAAUCUUAUCAAUAAUGAAAGUCCUUUGCUGCAUAUUAGAAAAAGAAACGGACUAAAGGGAUCGCAUUGUCUAAGCCUCUUAGCAGGUUGAAAAGUUCUUCCCCUCCUUCCAUUGAUAUUUGCUGCAUAAGAGACUGUGGUAAUGCAUUUCAAAAUUAAUCUCACCCCAUUUGCGAAUCCCAUCUGUAACAUUACUUAUGAAAAAUUCCACUCUACUCUAUCAUAAGCUUUACUGAUAUCUAGUUUUAUUGCUAUAUAUCCUUUUUUCUUGUUUGCUUUUGCCGAAACGUGCAGAAUUUCGUAUGCUAAAAGUACAUUAUCACGAAUAAGUCUCAUUGGUACAAAAGCACUUUGUGCUUUAUUAAUGCAGCUACAAAUAACUUCUUGUAAACGAUUUGCUAUUGUUUUUGCCACAAUUUUAUAUAUGACGGUGCACAAACUAAUAGGUCUAAAGGUAACUAAUUUUGUGGGACUUUGGACUUUUGGAAUGAGCACUAUUUCUGUCAUAUUUAGAGAGUCAAAAUUAUGGUCCCUAUUUAGGAUGCCUAAGCAAUACUUUUCAUCAUCUUUACCUAUUAUGUGCUAGUAUCAUUGAAAAAUGGAAAGCCAUUAGGCCCCAUUCUUUUGAAAGUUGUCAGAACUUCUUCUACCGUAAAAGGAGAUACUAAAGUUGAAUUCACCUCUGUAGAAAUUUUGUUUUCAAUACCCUUAAGAAGAUGAGAUGGAUCUUCAACUCCAUUUGUUGUGAAAAGCUCCUAAAAGAACGAAGUAGCAGCCUUUUUAAUCUCUGAAUCGUCAGUGAUUUCCCUUCCGUCAUCCAAUUAUAGCCUUUAAAUCAUAUUAGAUCGUCUAUGAAUUGAGGCGCAUUUAUGAAAAAAAGCUGAAUUUUUAUCCCCAAGCUGAAGUCAAUUUGCUCUUGCCCUUUGUUCCCAGUACAUUUCAUCUUUAUCAAUCUCCAUAUUAAGAUGAAUUUUAGUAUUAAUAGUUUUAACCAUUGUUUCAUCAUCCCUUUCUUUUCCUAACAGAAUUGCAAGUUCCUUGUUAACUUUUUUUUUAGUCCCUUUCUGCCUCUUUUGAUUGUGGUUGCCCAUCUCUUUAAGCAAACCUGCAAAUAUUCAAUUUUCUUUAUUAACGUGCUUUUUGAUGAUUCCCAUGAAAGCUUUAUUUCUUGUUCAAAAGAUUCCUCCAUGGUCCACCAUGCCUCAAAUUUAAAUUUUGGACUCCUUGUGUACAUGAUUCCACUAUUUGUAUUUAAAAGGAGAGGACAAUGAUUCGACAUUGAAUAAGGUAAAUGUUGAAUACUUCCCAACGAAAAAAAAUUUAUCCACUUUUCGUUUGCAACUCCCCUAUCAUGUCUCUCUUUUAUGUUUUUUCUGGCAAGUUCCCCCUUUCCCAUGUGAACCAAACCCCCGAGCAUCUUAUAUCCAUUAGUCGGCGUUUCUCUAAAACCUUUUGAAAGCCUUCCAUUCUCCUUUGAUCUCUUUGAAUUCCUCCUCUUUUUUCAAAGGAGUACAUAAUCUUGUUAAAAUCACCGUUUACUAGCCAAUGAUAGUUUUGUUCUUGCCACAAUUUUCUUAGUAGAUUCCAUGAAAAAUUCUUCUUGUUCGAAUAAGGUGAACCAUAAAACCCUGUAAACCGCCAAUCUUCUUUAAUAGAAUCCUCUUUUAUCAUUACAUCAAUGUGAUUCUUGGAGAAACUUUUCAAAUUAACCGUGAUAUCUCCUUUCCAUACUAAACACAGUCCACCACGAGACCCUUCAACUUCAAUGUCAAUCCCAUUUAGAAAUCAACACCUUCUUCUAACCUGUUCCAUAUGUAUUUUUUAUCAAUUUUAGUCUCUAUUAAGAAGACCAUAUGGGGAUUAUGCUGCUUUAACAAAUGUUGCAGCCUCCGUACAGACCAUGGACUCCCUAACCCACAGACAUUCCAACGUAAAAUUUUCAUUGUGCCCGGUCGACUUGCCAUUUGGCAGCCGUCGAUCCAAAACUGUUGGGAACAUCAUUUUGUUCCAAAGCUUCAUUCAUCAUACCUAUAGGAACUUCUGCUCGAUCAAUUACUCCUCCUUGUUUUAAUCUUUUUACUCCAUCUUCGUAUGAAAAUUCUGCGAUGUUAUCACCUUCAUCAAAAUCUGGAAAUUUUCACUUCCCUAUAAUGCUUUCAUCCUUUAUUUUAUCUACCAAAAUCCCUGGAGCUAUUCUUUUUCAGCUUGAUUUCUUCAUUAUAGUUGAAUUUUUCCCUAGCUUACUAGAUCUAUUAUUUUCCUCACCAGUUUGCAUCAUAGUAUAGCCUUCCUUUUGAUUCUUUAAUAUUGCCUCCAAACCCAUCACUUGAAGUCUAUCUUUUGGUCCCUUAUGCGUAUUUCCUUCAGUAGAUCUAUUAAUUCCAUUAUGCAUUAUUUCCAAGUUCCCUAUAUAAGAGCAUUGAACCCCCGUCUUCUUUGGGAAAGCAUUUAAUUUUAUACUCCUUUCCAAUUAAAUUUGAUUCAGCUGUUAGUGCUGCAGUAUAUGGUGGAUCGUCUUUAAUUUUAAUUAUUUCUGUAGGAUCUAGCACAAGAAAAUCGUUGAUGCUAUGUCCCAUUCUUCCACAUCCAAAGCAAAAAAUCGGUAACUUCUCAUGUUUAAAAGAAAUCCACGAUUUAAAGCUAUUAUUGCUUGAAACAAAAAGACCUCUUCAAAGAGGUUUCUGCACAUCCAGGUUUAUUCUUAACCGACAUAAAUCAUUAAUAAUUUCAGAUCUAAUUACUCCUUCAAAAGUAACACCAAUGGCAUGCACCAAAUUUUUUUUUCGAAUUUCGGUAGACACGAGCCUAUUCGGAUUUGAUUUCUCUCUAUCGGUUUACUUAGCCGAUCAAAUAAAACUAGGUAUUUCCUAAACAACCAUGGACGUCCCUCCAUAAUUGUUUCCUAAUUUUCUUCUAAAUCAACACAAUUAAAAAAAGAUUCUGACCUGCCAAUUGAACCUCGAAUUUUUUCUUAGUUUUCCAUGUGCUUUUCAUCUGCACCCUAAAGGCUUUUUAGAUUGUAGGGCUUUUUUGUCCAUAUUGAACAUAUAAGGGUAGGUUUUGCAUUCGGUACCAUCGACCACUUAACUGAUAAUUGGAUGAGUUCUUCUACCAGUAGAGAGAUCUCAUCUCUCCUCUCCCUGUCAUCGCCACCGCUGUCUUCCAUCCCAAGCUACAGUAGUUACUGCUUUUUUUAGGACUAUUUAGAAAGCACUCUUGGUUUGCAGAGAGUUUUUUUCACAUGACAUGAAAAUAUUAAAAAUAAUAAAAUAAUAAUAAAGUAACAAGUACACAAGACAAAAAAAAUUAAAUAAUAACGACAAUAAAUAACAAAUGCACAAAUAAGAGGGUAUAAACAAUUUAAUUUUUAAGUGUAAAAAAAGAAGAAGUAAUAAAUAAAUAAAUAAAUAAACAAUAUAAAAUUGAAAUUAAAUAGACAGGAUUUAAUUGAAAUCUAAACGAAAUUAGGGGGUCAUAAAUUGCAAAAAUAAUAAAAAAUAGAUUGAUAAGGAUCAAUGUGCAACGCGCUAAAAAGGAUAGGGAUCGAAUAGGAAAAUAUCUCUUGUCUUUAUGUACACCAUUUCCCAAAAGGACUAAAAUAUAGCACACGUGAAAGUGCGAGGACCAAUUGGGAAAUUAUUUCUUGUCCCCAAAACGAAGUUGUUCCUCAUUGUGUUAAAAUGAAAUAAAAUAAAAUUAUAGGGUAAAAUUAAAAUAAAUAAACAAUAUAAAAUUGAAAUUAAAUAAACAAAGGAUUUAAUUGAAAUUUAAAUGAAAUUAGGGGGUCAUAAAUUGCAAAUAAUAAAAAAUAGACUGAUAAGGAUCAAUGUGCAACGCGCUAAAAAAGAUAGGGACCGAAUAGGAAAAUAUUUCUUGUCUUUAUGUACACCAUUUCCCAAAAGGACUAAAAUAUAGCACACGUGAAAGUGCAGGGACUAACUGGAAAAUUAUUCCCUGUCCCCAAAAUGAAGUCGUUCCCUAGGGAGCUAAAAUGAAAUAAAAUAAAAUUAUAGGGUAAAAUUAAAAGAAAAAACGAAAUAUGACUAAAUUACAACGGGCCAUAAAAGUCGAAUCAUCGAAAGCAUAAAUAUCCCCUCCAAGUUAAAACACGUGGAUCCUAAGGGAUGGAUUGGGUUGAGCCACAGGUUGCGUUAAAAAGAUGCCGGUUUGGCAUCUGAACUUGAAUUUCAAAACGACGUCAUUUCAUAUGGGUAUAUAAGUUCAAGUUUGACAAAAAAAAUUAUUUCAGCGUUUUGUUUUAAAAAAAAACGAAAGCCUCUUUUUUUCUAUCAAACAAAACCAACUCCGGCCUGGCUCCAACCAUCGGCCACCGUGGCGGCCAUCGGUUGUCGGUGACAGUGCCGCCGUCCACGGUGGCCGGAAAGUCCAAAAAUCUCUCUUUUUGUUUCUUUUUUCGAGUAGAACCUUGAUUUGGGGUUAAAAUGGAAAAAGAAAAGCCCUCAAAAAUAAAAAUAAACAAAGGACCCUUCGUUUCUGCUCACUUCUGUCACAACCAUUUGACGAACCCUUAACGGUUCGUCAGUCUUCCAAGACGAAGGGCAAGACGCCAGCAAAAAGAUAAAAGAUUUUGUUUUUAUUUAUUACUAUAUAUAUUUUGAAAAUAAUAAAAGAAUGAAUGUAAAAAAAAACCUUACUGUUUUCGAAUCGAUUAGUAAUUUUUAUAUUCAAUUUUUUUUCUGUAUAUUUUUUUGUGUUUUUCAAAAAGGGAACCAUUUUACAAUCGGUUUUCAGGCUUUUUUAUAGCAAGAUUACACUAUUAUUUUUAUCUAUUUUUCUACUAUUCUUGCUGCCAUUGCGUGUUUGUCCUUUUUUACAGGCGGCGGCGAAAGAGAGCAAAGCCAGCAGUGGUGGUAGAGGGGUGUCAGACGGCACGCCUACCGAUGUGGCAAGGCUGCGACGAUAAAAGGGGAUAGGGUUUUUGUUUUACUGAAAGUAGUUAAGGUUUUGGGCCAGUUAGGCCCUAGGUAGUGGGUUUGUAAUUUAGGUUUUAAAUUUGGAAUUUGGGCUGGUAUUGUAAUUUGGACUUUAGACUCAUUUAAUAUUUUUUUAUUUUUUUAUUGGUUUGUUAUUUGGUUGGGUCCGAGCAAAAAUGACCUAUUACAAGUAUUAUUUUCU
rnacentral:lncRNA from 1 species